AACGCGAAGAACCUUACCUGGGCUCGAAAUGCAGGAGACCGGGGUAGAAAUAUCCUUUCCCCGCAAGGGGCUGCUGUAUAGGUGCUGCAUGGCUGUCGUCAGCUCGUGUCGUGAGAUGUUGGGUUAAGUCCCGCAACGAGCGCAACCCUCAUCCCUAGUUGCCACCGGGUAAUGCCGAGCACUCUAGUGAAACCGCCCCGGAUAACGGGGAGGAAGGUGGGGAUGACGUCAAGUCCUCAUGGCCUUUAUGUCCAGGGCUACACACGUGCUACAAUGGUCGGUACAAACCGUCGCAAAGCCGCAAGGUGGAGCUAAUCGGAAAAAGCCGGCCUCAGUUCGGAUUGGAGUCUGCAACUCGACUCCAUGAAGCUGGAAUCGCUAGUAAUCGCAGAUCAGAACGCUGCGGUGAAUACGUUCCCGGGCCUUGUACACACGGCUAC
rnacentral:rRNA from 1 species